CUGUUCAGGCAGCAGAGUGGGCUUAGGGAAUGUUGACAGGCAUGGGUUUCCCUUCUCAACCUGCUUUGAAAGAAGAGCCAAGGGCGUUCCCGCGGGCCUGGAAAAUGGCUGGUCGCGAGAGGGGCGGCGGCGAGCCGGAUGCUGGGGAGAGAGUCGGGGCUGUGCGGGGGCGUUGGUUCGGCCCCAGCGGAAUCCGAGUCGGGGUUUGCAGCAUGUUUUGCGGUGAUGUUUCCAGUCUCUUUCCCAACCAAUGGAUCAGGACGGCGAUCAGCAUCUCGGACCGUCGCGGAUCCUGGCUCCACAAACGUUAAAGGAAAUUGAUGAUGUCUAUGAAAAAUAUAAGAAAGAAGAUGAUUUAAACCAGAAGAAACGUCUACAGCAGCUUCUCCAGAGAGCACUAAUUAAUAGUCAAGAAUUGGGAGAUGAAAAAAUACAGAUUGUUACACAAAUGCUCGAAUUGGUGGAAAAUCGGGCAAGACAAAUGGAGUUACAUUCACAGUGUUUCCAAGAUCCUGCUGAAAGUGAACGAGCCUCAGAUAAAGCAAAGAUGGAUUCCAGCCAACCAGAAAGAUCUUCAAGAAGACCCCGCAGACAGCGGACCCGUGAAAGCCGUGAUUUAUGUCACAUGGCAAAUGGGACUGAAGACUGUGAUGAUCGGCCACCUAAAGAAAAGAAAUCCAAGUCAGCAAAGAAAAAGAAACGCUCCAAGGCCAAGCAGGAAAGGGAAGCUUCACCUGUUGAGUUUGCAAUAGAUCCUAAUGAACCUACAUACUGUUUAUGCAACCAAGUGUCUUACGGGGAGAUGAUAGGAUGUGACAAUGAACAGUGUCCAAUUGAAUGGUUUCACUUUUCAUGUGUUUCACUUACCUAUAAACCAAAGGGGAAAUGGGUAUUGCCCAAAGUGCAGGGGAGAUAAUGAGAAAACAAUGGACAAAAGUACUGAAAAGACAAAAAAGGAUAGAAGAUCGAGGUAGUAAAGGCCAUCCACAUUUUAAAGGGUUAUUUGUCUUUUAUAUAAUUCGUUUACUUUCAGAAAAUGUUUUAGGGUAAAUGCAUAAGACUAUGCAAUAAUUUUUAAUCAUUAGUAUUAAUGGUGUAUUAAAAGUUGUUGUACUUUGAAAAAAAAAAAAAAAAAGAAGAAAGAAGAGCCAAGGACAGCACACCCUGUCAGGGAAACAGACAGUGCUGGAAUUGGGUGACUUUGAGGAAAGUUCAUACACAAGGGACUGUUUCCAAAAGUGUGGGUGUCUGGAAAGCAGUGUUGAUAGAAUAAUGUCCCCUCAAGGGGCCCACAUCUGAAUGCCUGGUCUUGUGCAUGUCACCUUCGCAUGGCACCAGCACCCUCGCCAAUGGGACUUGGGACAGGAUCUUCAGGUGGGGAGAGGCCGUGAUGAGCCAGGCAGAUGCAGCAUCAUCCCAGAGUCCCUCCAUGCAGGAGGGAGGGGUCAGGGGAAGAAGUGUGACAGCAGCAGCAGGACCGGGAGAGCAGAUGCUGAGUGGAGACCAGGAGGGGAGGACCGGGCAGCAGCCCAGGGCCUUGGGCAGCCUGGGAAGUCCGAGAAGGCAGGAGGAGCCCCCAGCAGGAGCCUGCCCUGCCCAGACCUUGACUUUCGCCCAGCAAGACUGAUUUUCAGUUUUGUCUUCCAGGACAGGAGGGUAAUAAGUUUGUGCUGCUUGAGACUGCCAGGUUGGGGUGAGACCUUAAAGCAGUGUCAAGAAACACAUGCAGGCAGGAACCGGAGGCUAUCCCCAUCCAGCCAUGACCGG